CCAGACUCCUACGGGAGGCAGCAGUAGGGAAUCUUUCACAAUGGGCGAAAGCCUGAUGGAGCAACGCCGCGUGCAGGAUGAAGGCCUUCGGGUUGUAAACUGCUUUUAUAAGCGAGAAAUAUGAUGGUAACUUAUGAAUAAGGAUCGGCUAACUCCGUGCCAGCAGCCGCGGUAAUACGGAGGAUGCGAGCGUUAUCCGGAUUUAUUGGGUUUAAAGGGUGCGUAGGCGGACGCUUAAGUCAGCGGUAAAAUUGCGGGGCUCAACCUCGUCGAGCCGUUGAAACUGGGUGCCUUGAGUGGGCGAGAAGUACGCGGAAUGCGUGGUGUAGCGGUGAAAUGCAUAGAUAUCACGCAGAACUCCGAUUGCGAAGGCAGCGUACCGGCGCCCAACUGACGCUGAAGCACGAAGGCGUGGGUAUCGAACAGGAUUAGAUACCCGGGUAA
rnacentral:rRNA from 1 species